CGCUCGCAGCUCCUCACCGGGGCAUCGGGACCCCUCCUCCGUACAUGCCCGAACCACCUCAGCCUCGCUUCCCGCAUCUUCUCGUCCACCGGGGCCAUGGCAUUGGGUUAUUACUGUACUUCAAGUUAUUCUGAUAAACACAAAAAAAUGAAUCUAUGAAAUGUUUUACAUGGGAGCAAGGACAAAAAAUAGAAGGAAAAUUUAAAAAGUAGUUUCUGUUAAAAGACUAAACAGGCAGCUUCAGACAAAAGUACAAAGUUUUUCAUGAUGUAUAGCGCUUUAUCUGCAACUUUCGCCACCAUGAAUCAAGGUUAAUCAGGAACUUCUUCAUAUCAAAGAUGUAAGACAACCUCAGGUGUUGGGGAAUACAGGUGAUAUGAUAUUUACAGACAAUUACCAUUAUGUAGAUCAGUUUAGGUCAUAUAAUUGGAACGAGAUUGUAGUUCACUACGUGGACACUGUCUGUCGGAACAGGAUAUGUCAUGCGUCAUUAUUUGACUACAUUUCGAGAAACUUAAUAAAACAAUAGUAACAAUUUAAGUUGAAGAGAAUGUAACAAUAAAAUAUAGAUGAUGACAUGAUGUGAAAUGUCUAACAAGUACUAAUGAUAAGAGGCUUCAUAUGUUUAUAUUUUUAGCAAGAAAACUAUUUCAAAUUCUAGUCUCUAACAUAAGUGUACUGUAAUGAAUUUUUUCUCCUUGAUAAGAAUAAUCAAAUUGCUGGUGUAUCGCGUUUACGCAUGAUCUGGCCAGUUCACGAUUAGCUAAGGAACCAGUGAUUAUAGGUUGGUGAUCAUGGACAUGCAUACUAAAAAGUUGUAGAAGUUCAAAUCCUUGAGACCUCUGUUGAGAUCAGGUCCUAAUCUCAUUCUUUUAACUAAGAGCUUGUUUACCUUGUCCGGCUUCUUUUAAAAUCUAUAUAACGACAAUGCUAUCUGCAGCACCUUGUCUGCACAUCCACCAUUCCGCUAGAUGUUUGCUGCCUCCCAGCCAACGCCGGCUGAAUGGUAAAGCAACCCAAGCAGUGGCUUUAGGCCCCCAAAUUUUGGGAUCCCCGUCUUUCAUUAGUAAUAAUUUUGUGAAUUAAUUUUUCAUAUACAAAAUUAAAAUUUAGGCUUAUUUUUUAAAUUAUAUAGCGUGAAAAGAAAAACAUAAAACUCAAAUGAAUAUACUUAAUAAGAUAACAAGACUUCAUUUUUUUUUUCUAAUGCCUAUAUUUCUUAUAGAAUAAAGUUUUAGUAUAACAAUUGCAUAUGGGGAAAAAAGUUUUUCCAAAUUGAAAUUGACAAAAUCUUGUAUAGGAUCAAUAAUGUCUCACGAGGAGCUAAAUGGAUCAGAUUAGCAGUACGGAAAAGGGCCAAAUACCCCCCUGGACUUUACGAUAAGGUCCAUAUAUAACCCUCGUUAAACGUUUGGCCCAUCCCCAACCUUGCCAUUACAUUAUUGGCCUAUGUACACCCUAUAUUUCAAACGGUUACCACGGUGGAUAAGUUAUCCACUCAAAAUAUUACACGUGGAAAUUAAUAUACGCACAAACAAUUUAUUUUAAUGCCCAUCCCUACCCAUUAACCCUACCCGUUACCCGGCCCAUAAGUUAUAACCCAUCUCUUAAUAACCCUACCCCUAUUAUCGUCUCUUUAACAAGAGGGUCAGAUAUAAAUUACCAAACUCUAUACCCCUAUUAUCGUCGACUCCACCAAAAAUUCCACCAUCUUUCUGCUAAUACGAAGGAAUCCAAUCGAAGGUAGAUGUUGUUGAAACUCCAUACCCCCAUAUUAAAGAAGAUCUUCUUGUCAAGGCAAGUUUUUUGAGCUUCUUUUUUGUUACAUUUUACUGUUGGGUCUAGGUUUUAGGAUUAAAAUCGUUUUAACAUGUGAUUUUGUCGAGUUAACGUUUUUCUGUUUAAAAGCAUUAUAUAUGUAUGUUUAUUGCUGGAUUGUGUUUAUUUUCGUAUUUUUUUUGGGGAUUUGAUGGGUCUUUGGUUGUCACGAAAUCAUAUUUGUCUUUAAUUAUUUUUUUAUUCCAUGUUUUAUCUUUAUCUGUAUAUGUUUGUUUAUUGCUGGAUGUUUGUUUAUUAUCAUAUUUUUUGUUAGGAUUUGGUGGGUUGGCUGUCCCGAAAUCAGAUAAAGCAUGAAAUAAAAAAUCUUAAAAGCAAAUCUGAUUUCGGGACAGCCGGCCCACCAAAUCCCAACAAAAAAUAUGAUAAUAAACAAAAAUUCAACAAUAAGCAAACAUAUACGGAUAAAGAUAAAGCAUGGAAUUAAAAAAAUACUAAAAGACAAAUAUGAUUUCGUGACAACCAAAGACCCACCAAAUCCCCAACAAAAAUACGAAAAUAAACAAAAUCCAGCAAUAAACAUACAUAUAUAAUGCUUUUAAACAGACAAACAUUAACUCGACUAAAUCACAUGUUAAACCAAUUUUAAUCCUAAAACCUAGAUCCAACAGUAAAAUGUAACAAAAAAGAAGUUAAAGAAACUUAACUUGACAAGAAGAUCUUCUUUAAUAUGGGGGUAUGGAGUUUCAGAAGCACCCACCUUCGAUUGGAUUCCUUCGCAUUAGUAGAAAGAUGGUGGAAUUAUGGGCGGAGUCGACGAUAAUGGGGGUAUGGAGUUUGGUAAUUAUUUCUGACCCUUUUCCCUUGUUUAAGAGACGAUAAUGGAGGUAGGGUUAUUAAGAGACGGGUUAUAACUUAGGGGUCGGGUAACGGGUAGGGUUAAUAGGUAUGGAUGGGCAUUAAAAUAAAUUGUUUGUGUGUAUAUUAAUUUCCACGUGUAAUAUUUUGAGUGGGUAACUUAUCCAUUGUGGCAGAUGUUUGAAAUAAAGGGGGUAUAUAAGCCAAUAGUGUAACGGCAAGGUUGGGGAUGGACCAAACUUUUAACGAGGCUUAUAUAUGGACUUUAUCGUAAAGUCAAGGGGUAUUUGGCCCUUUUCCAUUGGCAGUAUUAUUAGUUGAAAAAUAAUUGUUAGAAUAGCUCGAUUAUAAGAAAAUUAUGAAUGAUUUUGCAUCUAAAAAAGGUAGGAAAAUACACUUUAAUCAAAUAAAAAAUUAAGGCCUCUUAUCAAAAUUUUGCUUUAUGCCUCCAGUAAUGUUGAGCCGCUCCUGCUCCUAGCGGUACAAAUAUUAGGUAACUCUACCCUUGUUUAGGUAAAUAGGAAGCAGCGUAAUAAAACCAACUCAUUUUAGCUGGUUAGGUACUAAAAGCUAACGCCUGUACAGAAACGAAAUACUAGUAUAAGUAGUAAAGUCAAGCUUUUUGUUAUUUCUUAAACUAUGGAACGCAACCCAAUUUUAGAAAUGGUCCAACUCCAUCCUUACAAAAGCACACAUAUAGCUCUGGCAUAAGAAAUUGUCAAAGGAGUAACCAAGAAUAGAGAUUAUCCAUUCGUCUAAACACAAACGAUGAGUGUCCCAAAAUGAAAAGCAACAGUUAACCGAUACAGAGUUAUCCGGUAGAAUAGUUGCAGUACACAAAUCGGUCAGUAGUAAACAACAUACUCAUUAUAAUCCCACAAAUCGGAUCUCCGGUCAGGAUACUAAUGUUAUUUAGAAAAAUUCUUCACGCUUUGGUAAUAAGGGAAUGUGUCUCACAUGACAUGGAAAGGACAGUACCAUUUCAUCAUACCAUGCUAAGAUUGUACCGUAUGCAUUAGUUGUAUCGAACCACAUUUGUUUUAUUUUUUUUCGCUAGAAAAGUUUUCGGAGUAAGAAAAGAUGUUUUUUAGUGAUUACAAAAGGUCAAUUUAAGGUCCCGUUUGGCCAUACAUUUUGGCAACAUUUUUUCAAAUCUUUUUUGAAAAGAUAGUUUGUUUAUAAAUUAAUAAUCUAUUUUUGAACUUAUUUUUCAAGUUCCCAAAAUCUAAUUUAGGGUAGAUUUUGGGUGAAACUUGUUCUCCCACUCACAAAACUUCAAAUUUUUUCAAAUAAAAUACAUGUCCAAAUAUAAUUUUAACUUUUAAAAAUAUUUUUUAAAUUUCAACUAAUUUAUAUCCAGGCUAGCUAAAAUGUCCGUAGGAAGAAGUCCAAAAAAGGUCAACUUUUAAUUUUUGACUUUAAAUGACCUUUUUACUCUUCGGACUUUGGUGGACGUUAAAACCAAAUAAAGGAUGAUUUUGUCAUUUCCCGUCUCCGUCGGCAUAAUCCUGGCUUCAGUAUCUUGUAAAGCUGGAUUUCAUUAGUUCAUUUAUUACCGAAAUCAAUGCCCAAAAAAAACAAAUGUGAUAAAGUGUAAUCCCAAAAUUGCCCUCACUUAUAUGUCCAAACUAUAACACUAGGCAAGAAUAACUUAAGGGUAUUUUAGUAAGAGAAUAAGUUAUGAAUUUCAGUUAGAGAAAAAGCACAUCAUGUUGCUGGUCUUGCGCCAGCUUGCCACUCCCGGUGAUGACGCAUUUUAGCGGCAAAUUAGGGGCAGCCGGGAAGUAAGAAAAGGAUGAAAACUUCCGCUAAGAAAAAAGAGGGAAGGAAAUGGAAUAUAGCAAAAAAAAGACAAAAAAACAGAGGAGAAAAUGAAAAAUACGGACCUUUGAUGAUCGUGUGGUUGUGGUGAAGCUCCUGGAGAAGGAGGAAGGCGGCGGAAUUGCGGGUGAUUUGGAAUGGGAGUUACCGACAGAGGGCGCAGGCUUAGGCUGCUGCUUCAACGAUGAUAGCGCCUUUUUCAGUUUGCGCCACGCCUCUGCCAUUCUUCUUCUUCUUCUUCAAGCCUUCUUCACACACACAGAGGGAGAGAGAUGAGGAGCAAAGAGGAAAGAGUAAGUGUAUGACUUUUGUGUGAAAUUGAACGUUGAUGGUGUCUGCAUAUAUAUACUGAGAAAUGGAGGUUGGGUGAUAAGAAGGUAGGAGGGGAUGGAGAAAGAGAUAUGAAC
rnacentral:lncRNA from 1 species